rnacentral:rRNA from 1 species
CCCUUAGAUGUUCUGGGCCACACGCGCGCUACACUGAUGCAUUCAACGAGUCUAAAACCUGCUCUGAUAGGGGUGGGUAAUCUUUUGAAUGUGCAUCGUGAUUGGGAUAGAUGAUUGCAAUUUUUCAUCUUCAACGAGGAAUGCCUAGUAAACGCAAGUCAUCAGCUUGCAUUGAUUACGUCCCUGCCCUUUGUACACACCGCCCGUCGCUCCUACCGAUUGAAUGAUCCGAUGAAUAUCAUAGACUGAGAGUAUAAGCAGGUUCGCCUGUCUUUGCUUCUCGGGAAGUGAAGUAAAUCUUAUCAUUUAGAGGAAGGAGAAGUCGUAACA